GUCGAGCGGAGAUGAGGUGCUUGCACCUUAUCUUAGCGGCGGACGGGUGAGUAAUGCUUAGGAAUCUGCCUAUUAGUGGGGGACAACAUUCCGAAAGGGAUGCUAAUACCGCAUACGUCCUACGGGAGAAAGCAGGGGAUCUUCGGACCUUGCGCUAAUAGAUGAGCCUAAGUCGGAUUAGCUAGUUGGUGGGGUAAAGGCCUACCAAGGCGACGAUCUGUAGCGGGUCUGAGAGGAUGAUCCGCCACACUGGGACUGAGACACGGCCCAGACUCCUACGGGAGGCAGCAGUGGGGAAUAUUGGACAAUGGGGGGAACCCUGAUCCAGCCAUGCCGCGUGUGUGAAGAAGGCCUUAUGGUUGUAAAGCACUUUAAGCGAGGAGGAGGCUACUGAGACUAAUACUCUUGGAUAGUGGACGUUACUCGCAGAAUAAGCACCGGCUAACUCUGUGCCAGCAGCCGCGGUAAUACAGAGGGUGCGAGCGUUAAUCGGAUUUACUGGGCGUAAAGCGUGCGUAGGCGGCUUUUUAAGUCGGAUGUGAAAUCCCCGAGCUUAACUUGGGAAUUGCAUUCGAUACUGGGAAGCUAGAGUAUGGGAGAGGAUGGUAGAAUUCCAGGUGUAGCGGUGAAAUGCGUAGAGAUCUGGAGGAAUACCGAUGGCGAAGGCAGCCAUCUGGCCUAAUACUGACGCUGAGGUACGAAAGCAUGGGGAGCAAACAGGAUUAGAUACCCUGGUAGUCCAUGCCGUAAACGAUGUCUACUAGCCGUUGGGGCCUUUGAGGCUUUAGUGGCGCAGCUAACGCGAUAAGUAGACCGCCUGGGGAGUACGGUCGCAAGACUAAAACUCAAAUGAAUUGACGGGGGCCCGCACAAGCGGUGGACAUGUGGUUUAAUUCGAUGC
rnacentral:rRNA from 1 species